AGAGGAAGUAAUGACAUUCAGAGCGAAACUAAGCUCCCCAGCCUCAUGAUGUGCUUCCUAUAAAACAGGUCUCUUCUUUCCUGUCUGACCUCCACAAGGAAGGCAUACAAUCUCAUACUGUCCUUGUUUUGGUUUUGUGUGGCUGUAAAAGGGCCCUCUUCAUUUUGUGAUCACGUCACAUCUGGGUUAAAGAAGACUCCACGACUCUGGAGGAAAAGCUUUGUUUAGGAAGGAAUAGGGACAAAGAAAAUGUUCUGAGUGACCCUGACAAGUUGUGAUCCUCCUAAGGAGGAGACGUCCAGGUGCUCUACAUGGGUAGCUAACCCUGUAACUACCAGUACUCAUCCCAAAGAGAACCUACUGUUAGGCUGAGUCUUAUGUAUUCCCAUUGCCUAGAAGGUUUUAUCAUCUAGAAAUGGUUUGCUACAUCAGACGGUUACAAGAACUAACUUUAACUGUUGCAGUUCUGACUUGAACCUGGCAUUUUCUGAAUGCUGAACUGAAACCGGCUAAGAGUGGAACAACCUACCAGGAAGUUUGUGCUGGGCUUCCAAAACGGUUCUGUCUUCCGCCAAGUGGAUCAGAGCCAGAACAACAGAUGGAGUCUUUUACACCGCCCUCGUGCCUGCUUUACACCAGGCAUGGUGCGCAGCAGCCCAGGCAGAAAUGCUUCUGGCAGAGAAUGGGAAGUGGAGCCCUCUGACAUUCAUCCUGACUCAGUACAGUUGCAACCCUGAUCUAGGCCUUAAGAAAAGUCCAGUUACAUGCUUUAUUGUCUUCCUUAUGCACUCCUUAACAAAGCACUACUCUGAUACAUAUACUAGUAAACCUUGCUUUUAAUAUACCUCGAGGUCUUUACUGUCCCUUUGACUUCAGCUGCAAGGAGUCACCAAAAUGCAUGCAUGACUGCCCAAGCAGCUGGGCUUAAAAGCCUGUUGAGGAGCUACCUGGUAUGUUCUUGUUUCUCAUUACUAGGCUUAUCAGCAGCACACUGUAAGUAGAAGGCUGCAAAAGAUUAAAAGAACAUUAUUUCUAUGAUUUAAAACUAUCAAUUGAAAAUACUACCACAUACUGUGCAAAAAUGAGGAAAAAAGAUUUUUUUUUCUCCUGGAUUCUGAGAAAUUAAGGUAAUAUUUGGCAGCUAAUACAGAACCUGAAGGCAUACAAAUUGUACUUGGCAAAUCUAAUGUCACAUGGCUCUAUCGCCUGCUCUUAUUGCUACAUAUUUUGUUUUGUUAUUGUUUCUGUAAUUUCCAUUUAUGCACCUCUGUCUGUAGAUGUCUAGCAUUCAAGCAAUUAGCACUGCUAAUGAAAGAUGUAUCCUGUAGAAGAGCUUGUCUGCAAUCAGCUUCUGAAGACUGAUUUACCUGUGUAAUAUCCACAGUGUCAGGACUCAAAGUGCUUCUUUAUUAGCUAUCAUGAAUUGUUCAGACAGAGCUUUCUGUAAAGCCAAAUGCCUCUCUAGGUGCAGAAGGGAUUCAUGGUCUGGCACUCUGAACUGCAAGACAAGGCAAUGUGAUUCAGGAAUAUACUUUGAAAGACUCCUGUUAUUUCCCUCUGCAGAAAUAAAGAGGGCUGAAGCCAUCAACAGUCCUCCCCCAACUCCCAAAUCCACAUUCAGCUGGCAUUUCUGGGCACUGAUAUACGAGAGCUGAAAACAAGAGAGAGUAAACAUACUUCCCAUCUGUUAGUUUGUCCUCCACCCCCUCUUCUUAGAAAUCACAGAAACAGAAGAAUCAGCUGGAUGGAACCUUUACAGGUCAACUAAUCCGCCCCCACAUUCCCUUACCCACAGAUCUGUGUAUUAACACCCAAAUAAACAUAGAUUGAUGUCACU
ensembl:lncRNA